CUGAUACUUCCUCCGUCCGAAAAUACUUUCAUCAAAAUGGAUAAAAAGAUAUGUAUCUAAAACCAAUAUAUAUCUAGAUACAUCACAUUUUAUUUAUUUUGAUAAUAAGUAUUUCCGGACGGAGGGAGUAGUAG
rfam:Triticum aestivum genome assembly, contig: Triticum_aestivum_CS42_TGACv1_scaffold_361912_4DS